UUUCCGCCUAUUUUUUUAAAUGAUCGUCAAAUAUGUUCUAUUUUUUACCUCCAGAGCACUCAUAUUUUCAUUUGCACGACUUCACCACUUCUCUUAGCGUUCACUCAUCAUCUCGUCACCAUGACCAUGAGACUAUCAUCAUCUUCGAGCCAAUGACUCCUCCUAUUCCCUUGCUAGUUUUUUCAAGAAGGCUGAGGUGACAAUUUCAAGUGCAAUCAGCAGAGAUUGAUUCUAGAAUGCCGAAAUAUUGGUUAAUUGACAAUGACUCACCUAUGUUGAAGCUACCUGGUAUGAAACAUUGUGUUUUGAUGAUUUUUCAAGGUAAUUUUGCAAAUAUACGAUUGUUUAGUAGUUUACUAUUCCCAAAUCCUUGCAUUGUUGUGCAACUUUACAUUUAAAGGUGAUUCUGUUUUAGCAUCCAUGUAUCUCGAAAAUGAAUGCUUUAUGUUGUUUAUCAUACUAAAAAAGUAGUAUGAUACUUACACAUCCAUAAUCUUUUCAUUUUGUAUAUGAAUUUAGCCUUUAGCAUAUAUCAUUUUGAGAUCACUGCUAGCAUGCUUAUAUUUGGUGUUAUAUCAUGUAUGACAUCUUCAGGGGAAGUUCGUCAACAUUAGUUUUGCCUAUAUAUGCAACUAUUAUGAAUAUAAAGUAUUGUUUUGAGAUGUAUGUGUUCAAUAUUCACAUUUUAUUUAUAUCCACAUGAUUAUUUUAUUAUUAUUAUUAUUUUUUAAUAUUGUGGACUCACAUGCUUAACGGAAUCAAAGUCAUAGUUAACCAUAUAGGCCAUUCCCCAACAUCAGCAACAAGUUAGUGUCAUUAUUCCACCAUGUAUGACAUCUUUUGUUAUUGUUGCUUGUUUGUUCCUUACCUAAAACCUUGCACAACAGGCUACUGUUACCAGUUAUACCCUCCAUGUAAAUUUGAUCUUUGAGCAUGACUAUUCAUAUGAUUUUUUCCCACUUCUUUGUAUAUAUGUAUAAACUUAGUAUCUUACUAAAUGUGUUUGGUUUAAUGUUAUUCUAAUAGCCUUUCCUGAAAAUUCCUAUUACUUUUUAGAAGGUUGGAGGUAACCAUGCUUAGAGUGUUGGGUUUUCUACUGAUGGAUUUACCACCACAACCACUAUGAGGAAAUUGCAUCUCAUAUGGGUUUUCUGCAAAUGCAUAUUGAAGUAUACAUAUACCCUGCUUAGAGUAAUGUGAUUGGCAUGAUAUGAACAAACAUGCUAGCAAUGUUACCUACAUUGAUUAGAUGGGCUCUUGAGAGCAUUCCACCGGAAAUCAUUGACACCCAUGAACUGGAAUGACAUAGCUGAUUCACUUUAUAUUUUUAUUUCCUCAUUAAUGCAAUGGAUGUGUCAUUAACAAUGUAAUUUUGUUGGUUUGUUUAAUGUUGAUGGAGUGCGGUUAAUAUUGUGGAAAAGAGGAUUGGAAUAUAGUACGGUUAAUAAUGUGUAUUAUAUGUGGAAUAAAAUGUGUAUUAUAUGUGGAA